UUGUUGCUCAUUUAUAAUUAGUAUACAUGCAUCAUACUAUACUACCAUGUCUGGCAAUAAGUAUAAAUUAGGCUGAAAAGUCAUGUAAGCAAAUACUAUUUCUUGCCCAUUUAUAAAUCCAGUCAACAGCUUUGUUGUGUCACAUACAACUGCAGGGCACUGCACAGCCCUAGCAAUAUGCCAUGUGUUGCUCCCAAGGCUUCUAGGACCUUCUGCCAUGCUUCUUCCAGGGUUGCUGAUGUGGCCAGGUGGCACCGUGCAGUACUGUGUUAUGGUCUUUGUGGCACCUGUUCUGUCUGCCAGAAGCUGGGGGAACAGUGGCUUGUCUGAGGCCACCUGCUGGUGAGAGAAGCAGAUUAAAGUCUGUGGGGAGGAAGCAGAUUAACGCCAGUGUUUGUGACGACUUUCCUGCGCUCUCAGAGAAUGAAAGCCCAUGGCCUCUCCAUUUUAUGUAUUGGAUAGAACAUCAAGGAAGAUGAGAAAUUCUACCUUCUGACAAAGGCAAAGGGAUGUUCUAGCCUCACAGACCAAACCAGCAGGUCCUACUUUUGCCUGAGAAGCUGUUUCCCCCCUGCCAUGCCAUGAUGUCAUACGA